rnacentral:rRNA from 1 species
GCAAUCAGUUAAAACUUUCAACAAUGGAUCUCUUGGUUCCGGCAUCGAUGAAGAACGCAGCGAAAUGCGAUAACUAGUGUGAAUUGCAGAAUUCCGUGAAUCAUCGAGUCUUUGAACGCACAUUGCGCCCCCUGGUAUUCCGGGGGGCAUGCCUGUCCGAGCGUCAUUGCUGCCCAUCAAGCACGGCUUGUGUGUUGGGUCGUCGUCCCCUCUCCGGGGGGGACGGGCCCCAAAGGCAGCGGCGGCACCGCGUCCGAUCCUCGAGCGUAUGGGGCUUUGUCACCCGCUCUGUAGGCCCGGCCGGCGCUUGCCGAACGCAAAUCAAUCUUUUUCCAGGUUGACCUCGGAUCAGGUAGGGAUACCCGCUGAACUUAAGCAUAUCAAUAAGCGGAGGAAAAGAAACCAACCGGGAUUGCCUCAGUAACGGCGAGUGAAGCGGCAAGAGCUCAAAUUUGAAAGCUGGCUCCUUCGGGGUCCGCAUUGUAAUUUGCAGAGGAUGCUUCGGGUGCGGCCCCUGUCUAAGUGCCCUGGAACGGGCCGUCAGAGAGGGUGAGAAUCCCGUCUGGGAUGGGGUGUCCGCGCCCGUGUGAAGCUCCUUCGACGAGUCGAGUUGUUUGGGAAUGCAGCUCUAAAUGGGUGGUAAAUUUCAUCUAAAGCUAAAUACUGGCCGGAGACCGAUAGCGCACAAGUAGAGUGAUCGAAAGAUGAAAAGCACUUUGAAAAGAGAGUUAAAAAGCACGUGAAAUUGUUGAAAGGGAAGCGCUUGCGACCAGACUCGCCUCCAGGGUUCAGCCGGCAUUCGUGCCGGUGUACUUCCCUGGGGGCGGGCCAGCGUCGGUUUGGGCGGCCGGUCAAAGGCUCCCGGAAUGUAGUGCCCUCCGGGGCACCUUAUAGCCGGGAGUGCAAUGCGGCCAGCCUGGACCGAGGAACGCGCUUCGGCACGGAC